rnacentral:rRNA from 1 species
UACAGAGGGUGCAAGCGUUAAUCGGAAUUACUGGGCGUAAAGCGUGCGUAGACGGUUAUGUAAGUCAGAUGUGAAAGCCCCGGGCUCAACCUGGGAAUUGCAUUUGAGACUGCAUAGCUAGGGUGCGGAAGAGGGAAGCGGAAUUUCCGGUGUAGCGGUGAAAUGCGUAGAUAUCGGAAGGAACACCAGUGGCGAAAGCGGCUUCCUGGUCCAGCACCGACGUUCAGGCACGAAAGCGUGGGGAGCAAACAGGG